AGCAGCCGCGGUAAUUCCAGCUCCAAUAGCGUAUAUUAAAGUUGCUGCAGUUAAAAAGCUCGUAGUUGAAUUUCGGGACCAAUAUGUCGGUCGUGCCUCGGUACGUACUGGCAUCGUUGGUUUCUCCCUUCUGACGAACCAUAAUGUCAUUUAUUUGGUGUCGUGGGAAAUCAGGACUGUUACUUUGAAAAAAUUAGAGUGUUUAAAGCAGGCUCACGCUUGAAUACAUUAGCAUGGAAUAAUGAAAUAGGACGUUUGAUUCUAUUUUGUUGGUUUCUAGGAUCGACGUAAUGAUUAAUAGGGAUAGUUGGGGGCAUUAGUAUUCAAUUGUCAGAGGUGAAAUUCUUGGAUUUAUUGAAGACUAACUACUGCGAAAGCAUUUGCCAAGGAUGUUUUCAUUAAUCAAGAACGAAAGUUAGGGGAUCGAAGACGAUCAGAUACCGUCGUAGUCUUAACCAUAAACUAUGCCGACUAGGGAUCGGAUGAUGUUAAUUUUUUAAUGACUCAUUCGGCGCCUUACG
rnacentral:rRNA from 1 species